ACACUUCAAUGUUGAAAAACAAAUGGAAACAGUCCAAUUCAUUCCUUCCUCUCUCUCCUUAAUUUAAAGUUCCAGCUAAACAUUGACCUUUCUCACACAUGAAAAGAAAAAGUUAACAGUGAGGGAAAUCCCUCAGGUGUGAUGAUUUUGGCCAAGUGAACCUGUCCCAAUAGCUUCAGGGUCAUCCUGCUAGAGUUAUAAAGAACCAUCCUGCUCCCUGGGAACACAGUCUUCUUGGGCAUAAAAUUUCUCCAGCAUGCGUGUGCUUCAGCUUCUCUUCAAGACCAGCCCUGCUGCCCUUCUCCUGGGCCUCUGCCUAACACUGUGGACUGUCCCAACUCAAGGACAAAUACAGAAUGUAAUUUCAGCGAACCUGACAACUUCUCAAAUUGACAACUCAACGGGCUAUGUGAUAACACUUGCAGUUUCAAAUCUCAUAUCUCAAUGCAUAGUGGUUUAUCAGGAGUCAGGUAAGGUGGUCUGGUAUUAGGGAUAGAGUAUCAGUUUCAGUUCAGUUCAGUUCAGUUGCUCAGUCGUGUCCAACUUUUUGCAACCCCCCCAUGGACUGCAGCACACCAGGCCUCCCCGUCCAUCACCAACUCCUGGAGCUUACUCAAACUCAUGUCCAUCGAGUCGGUGAUGCCAUCCAACCAUCUCAUCCUCUGUCGUCCCCUUCUCCUCCCACCUUCAAUCUUUCCCAGCAUCAGGGCCUUUUCCAAUGAGUCAGUUCUUCGCAUCAGGUGGCCAGAGGAUUGGAGU
rnacentral:lncRNA from 1 species